rnacentral:rRNA from 1 species
UACGUAGGGUGCGAGCGUUGUCCGGAAUUAUUGGGCGUAAAGGGCUCGUAGGCGGUCUGUCGCGUCGGUAGUGAAAACUCAGGGCUUAACCCUGAGCCUGCUUCCGAUACGGGCAGACUAGAGGUAGGCAGGGGAGAGCGGAACUCCUGGUGUAGCGGUGGAAUGCGCAGAUAUCAGGAAGAACACCGGUGGCGAAGGCGGCUCUCUGGGCCUUACCUGACGCUGAGGAGCGAAAGCGUGGGUAGCGAACAGG